rnacentral:rRNA from 1 species
AUUGAACGCUGGCGGCAGGCCUAACACAUGCAAGUCGAGCGGAUGAAGGGAGCUUGCUCCUGGAUUCAGCGGCGGACGGGUGAGUAAUGCCUAGGAAUCUGCCUGGUAGUGGGGGAUAACGUCCGGAAACGGGCGCUAAUACCGCAUACGUCCUGAGGGAGAAAGUGGGGGAUCUUCGGACCUCACGCUAUCAGAUGAGCCUAGGUCGGAUUAGCUAGUUGGUGGGGUAAAGGCCUACCAAGGCGACGAUCCGUAACUGGUCUGAGAGGAUGAUCAGUCACACUGGAACUGAGACACGGUCCAGACUCCUACGGGAGGCCGCAGUGGGGAAUAUUGGACAAUGGGCGAAAGCCUGAUCUAGCCAUGCCGCGUGUGUGAAGAAGGUCUUCGGAUUGUAAAGCACUUUAAGUUGGGAGGAAGGGCAGUAAGUUAAUACCUUGCUGUUUUGACGUUACCAACAGAAUAAGCACCGGCUAACUUCGUG